GCCCAGGAAGUGUUCUGGGCGAAGCUGAUGGAGCACGCCGCGUGAGUGAAGAAGGUUUUCGGAUCGUAAAACUCUGUUGUAAGGGAAGAACAAGUACAGUAGUAACUGGCUGUACCUUGACGGUACCUUAUUAGAAAGCCACGGCUAACUACGUGCCAGCAGCCGCGGUAAUACGUAGGUGGCAAGCGUUGUCCGGAAUUAUUGGGCGUAAAGCGCGCGCAGGCGGUCCUUUAAGUCUGAUGUGAAAGCCCACGGCUCAACCGUGGAGGGUCAUUGGAAACUGGGGGACUUGAGUGCAGAAGAGGAAAGUGGAAUUCCAAGUGUAGCGGUGAAAUGCGUAGAGAUUUGGAGGAACACCAGUGGCGAAGGCGACUUUCUGGUCUGUAACUGACGCUGAGGCGCGAAAGCGUGGGGAGCAAACAGGAUUAGAUACCCCGGUAGUCAAG
rnacentral:rRNA from 1 species